AGCUGCUCAAACAAGUUUAAAAUGUCCUGAUUCGUAAAUUUGCUAGGGUUUCUUCAACUGGAUAAGAGUUGCAUGUUUGGAUUGGUGUUUGGAAAUUCAGUGUGAGAAACAAUUGAGUUCUUUGAUUGAUUGAGAAAUGGCGUGUGUGUACACCAGUGCGGAAUUCGGAUGAGGAAGUGAAGGUGGUGCUUGAUGAACUCCCCCUGGAUGCCAGUUACAUUCUCAACAUUCUGAAAGUGGAGCAUGCUCCGCUGGUUAUCUGGCUCACCAUCGCCGUUGCCACAUUUCUGCAUGAAGCCAACAAGUUUUUGGAAAGGCAAAAUAUUUGUGAGAAGGAGUACUUCAUACAAGGAAAAGUUGAACAAUUUAAACAAAUAUUGGAAGAAGGAUGUAGUCCGGGUAUUAAGUCUUACAUUCAAUUGUUGAUGUUUCUUUCACAUGACAAAAGAAGAAAUUAUAUGCCAGAAGUUGAUGAAUAUUAUGCAAAUGAAACAUACGAGAGGACUGAAAUCCUAAAUUCUCUGGGGGGCCUGUUACAGCUACCUUGCAAAAGUUGAGAAUAAACAACGAGAAAAGGAAUAAUAUUUUAUAUAGGCUGCAAAGUAUUAUAACAAGGCAUCGAGAAUUGAUAUGCAUGAGCCUUCAACUUGGAUUGGGAAAGAUGAAUCUUCUCCAAUCCAAAUUGCAGCCUGUAGAGAUUCCUCCGUCCUUUUAGUUUAUCUGCUCUCUGAAUUUUGAGGAAGUUGGACAAACUAUAAAAGAGGUAAGCUUUUGAAGCUCAAUUGCAGCAAGUAACCAGAAGAGAAUCAUUUCUAUGCUGCUUUGAAGAGAACAUAGACCAAACUCAGUUUGAAGAGGGAUAAUUGGUACAUUUGUUAUUGAUGUGGCUCGCUUUUGGACCUGGCCUUUCUUUUUGCUAGUAUUGUUGCACUCUCGACUCUAUACACAUUAAGAUUUGAUUGCAGAGUUGCUAUACAGAAGUCCAGCAUUGACACUGCAAAAGAUGACCAGGACUGUGGACGAGGUCUUUCAGAAAAUUACAUUGGAGAAAAGGAAACAGGAGGAUGAACUGAAGCAGGUUUUGCAACGAGAGCAGCAUUUGAAGUGUAUCAAGGUCUUUCAGAAAAUUACAUUGGAGAAAAGGAAACAGGAGGAUGAACUGAAGCAGGUUUUGCAAUGAGAGCAGCAUUUGAAGUGUAUCAAGCUAUGCAGCAAAUGGUGCUGAUAUUGUAUUUGCUGAGAAAGGUUAGCCAAGGAUCUUCGAAUACAGUAUCAAAACUGUUUGCGGAGGUUCUACUACUACACUGAAACUUCUACUUAGCACGUGCACAUUAUGAAGCCCAACAGUGGCAAGACUGUCCACUUAGCUCCUUCAAAUUACACAUUAAGAUUUGAUGAUACAGAAGUUUGACACUUGAAAAGACCCAUCAGGACUGUGGAUGAGGUUAUCAUCUUAUCUUAUUUUUUAAGUUAUACCCAGCAACUUUUUUUUGGUAUAAUUAUCUUGAUAAGUGUUAUUCUUUUGAAAUCUCAAUGGUAAACAG